GGCUCCGUGGCUUAAUGGUUACGGCUUCUGCCCCACAAGCAGAAGGUUCAGGGAUAAAAUCCCGGCCGGUACCU
rfam:Culex pipiens quinquefasciatus supercont3.322 genomic scaffold, whole genome shotgun sequence.